GACGAACGCUGGCGGCGUGCCUAAUACAUGCAAGUCGAACGGUCUUUUCUAUGGAAGCUUGCUUCCACUAAGAAGAUAGUGGCGAACGGGUGAGUAACACGUGGGUAACCUGCCCAUAAGAGGGGGAUAACAGCUGGAAACGGCUGCUAAUACCGCAUAAACUUUUUAAGACCCAUGUUUUAGAAAGGAAAGGUGGCGCAAGCUAUCGCUUAUGGAUGGGCCCNGUCUGAUUAGCUAGUUGGUGGGGUAACAGCCUACCAAGGCAACGGUCAGUAGCCGGCCUGAGAGGUGACGGCCACACUGGGACUGAGACACGGCCCAGACU
rnacentral:rRNA from 1 species